ACCACCCCAUUUCAGAGCGAACUUCGUACGAAACUGAAUUGUCCGAUUUCAAGGACCAAUCGAUAUCAGAUUGAGUCCAAAACGUGGGGAACAUCAUAAUAUUGUGGGAGGAGUCAUUUGGGUGGGUUUUGAGUGAAAUCCAAUCUCUAGAACUACACAAUACACCCACCACUCCAUUUCAGAACGAACUUCGUACGAACCUGAAUUGUCAAAUUUCAUGGACCGAUCGAUAUCGGAUUGAGUCCAAAACUUGGGGAACACCAUAAUAUUCAGGGAGGAGUCAUUUGGGGGGUUUUGAGUGAAAUCCAAGCUCUAGAACUAUACAAUACACCAACCACUCCAUUUCAGAACGAACUUCGUACGAACUUGAAUAGUCAAAUUUCAUGGACCGAUCGAUAUCGGAUUGAGUCCAAAACUUGGGGAACACCAUAAUAUUCAGGGAGGAGUCAUUUGGUGGGUUUUGAGUGAAAUCCAAUCUCUAGAACUAUACAAUAAACCAACCACCCCAUUUCGAACGAACUUCGUACGAACCUGAAUUGUCCGAUUUCAAGGACCAAUCGAUAUCGGAUUGAGUCCAAAACUUGGGGAAAAUCAUAAUAUUUUGGGAGGAGUCAUUUGGUGGGUUUUGAGUGAAAUCCAAUCUCUAGAACUAUACAAUACACCAACCACCCCAUUUUAGAACGAACUUCGUACGAACCUGAAUUGUCCGAUUUCAAGGACCAAUCGAUAUCGGAUUGAGUCCAAAACUUGGGGAACAUCACAAUAUUGGGGGAGGAGUCAUUUGGGGGGUUUUGAGUGAAAUCCAAGCUCUAGAACUAUACAAUACACCAACCACUCCAUUUCAGAACGAACUUCGAACGAACCUGAAUAGU
rnacentral:lncRNA from 1 species